rnacentral:rRNA from 1 species
GAUGAACGCUGGCGGUAUGCUUAACACAUGCAAGUCGAACGGUCACUUCGGUGAUAGUGGCGGACGGGUGAGUAACGCGUGAGAAUCUGUCUUCAGGUCGGGGACAACAGUUAGAAAUGACUGCUAAUACCGGAUGUGCCUUGGGUGAAAGAUUUAAUGCCUGAAAAAGAGCUCGCGUCAGAUUAGCUAGUAGGUGGUGUAAGAGACUACCUAGGCUCCGAUCUGUAGCUGGUCUGAGAGGACGAUCAGCCACACUGGAACUGAGACACGGUCCAGACUCCUACGGGAGGCAGCAGUGGGGAAUUUUCCGCAAUGGGCGAAAGCCUGACGGAGCAAUACCGCGUGAGGGACGAAGACUUUUGGGUCGUAAACCUCUUUUCUCAAGGAAGAUGAUGACGGUACUUGAGGAAUAAGCAUCGGCUAACUCUGUG